AGGGUUGUAGUUAAAUAUAACAUUUGAAUUGCAAUCAAAAAGUACUACAUCAUUAGUCUUCCUUA
rnacentral:tRNA from 1 species